rnacentral:rRNA from 1 species
AUGGCGACCGUCUCCUACCUCGAGCUUUCGCUUUGCUUCCUCUGCUUCGUCUUGUUCUACUGCUUCCACGUAAGGUCCAAGCGCAAGAACCCGGCGCUCCCGCUGGACUGGCCGCUGGUGGGCAUGCUCCCGGCGCUCCUCGCCAACCUGCCGCGCCUCCACGACUGGGUCACCUCCGUCCUCACCGCCAGCACGCUCAGCUUCCGCCUCGCCGGCCCGCCGCGUUCGGGGAUGCAGCUCUUCUUCACCGCUGACCCGGCCAACGUCCGCCACCGGGCUAAGGCGCAGCUGCUCAUGUCCGCUCCUCGGUUCCGGGCAUUCGUGUCCCGCUGCACCCGCCGCAAGGUCGAGAGCGACCUGCUCCCGCUGCUCGCCCGCGUCGCUGACGCCGGCUCUGGUGAGUGCGACCUGCAGGACGUGUUCCUCAGGCUCACGUUUGACACCACCACCACGCUGGUCUUCGGCCUCGACCCGGGCUGCCUGGCCGUCGGCUUCCCGGAGGUGCCGUUCGCGCGCGCCAUCGACGACGCCAUGGACGUGCUCCCAGUCCGCAUCGUGCUCCCGCUGUCGUGGUGGAAGCUGGUGCGGCGGCUCGGGGUCGGGUAUGAGCGGAAGAUGACGGUGGCCUGGCGCGACAUCGGCCGGUUCAUCGGCGACACGAUCGCCAAGCGGCGACAGGCGGUGAAGGCCAGAGGCGGGAUCGAGGACUCGGCGGACCUGCUCUCCUCCUACAUCGACGACGACAAAGACGACGACGAUGCCAGCGCGGUCAUCGACGCCUUCCUCCGGGACACGACCAUGAACCUCAUGCUCGCCGGCCGCGACACGACCGGCUCGGCGCUGUCCUGGUUCUUCUACCUCCUCACCAGGAACCCGGGCGUGGUGUCCAUGAUCCUCGCAGAGCUCGACACCAUCAAGACCACCACCACCACCCUGGACGGCAUGGUGACCUACGACCCGGACGAGCUCGGCCGGCUGGUGUACCUGCACGCGGCCCUGUGCGAGUCGCUCCGGCUGUACCCGCCGGUGCCGAUGGAGCACAAGGGAGUGGCCUCCGCCGAGGCGCUGCCAAGCGGGCACGAGGUGCGGCCGGGGGACAAGAUCCUUGUGUCGCUGUACGCGAUGGGGAGGAUGGAGGCCGUGUGGGGCAAGGACUGCCGGGAGUUCCGGCCGGAGCGGUGGAUAGGGGAGGACGGCAAGCCGCGGUACGUGCCGUCGUACAAGUUUGCCUCCUUCAAUGCUGGGCCGCGGACCUGCCUGGGCAAGGACAUGGCCCUCGUGCAGCUCAAGACCGUGGCGGCCGCCGUGGUGAGGAACUUCGAGGUGGACGUCGUGCCAGGGCACGUCGUGGAGCCCAAGAUCUCCGUUAUUCUCCACAUGAAGAACGGCUUCAAGGCCAGGAUUAAGAGGAGACAGGUGAUGAACAGCUAA